CCUACGGGAGGCAGCAGUCGAGAAUCAUUCACAAUGGGGGAAACCCUGAUGGUGCGACGCCGCGUGGGGGAAUGAAGGUCUUCGGAUUGUAAACCCCUGUCAUGUGGGAGCAAAUUAAAAAGAUAGUACCACAAGAGGAAGAGACGGCUAACUCUGUGCCAGCAGCCGCGGUAAUACAGAGGUCUCAAGCGUUGUUCGGAAUCACUGGGCGUAAAGCGUGCGUAGGCUGUUUCGUAAGUCGUGUGUGAAAGGCGCGGGCUCAACCCGCGGACGGCACAUGAUACUGCGAGACUAGAGUAAGGGAGGGGGAACAGGAAUUCUCGGUGUAGCAGUGAAAUGCGUAGAUAUCGAGAGGAACACUCGUGGCGAAGGCGGGUUCCUGGACAUUAACUGACGCUGAGGCACGAAGGCCAGGGGAGCGAAAGGGAUUAGAUACCCCAGUAGUC
rnacentral:rRNA from 1 species